AGAGUUUGAUCAUGGCUCAGAUUGAACGCUGGCGGCAGGCCUAACACAUGCAAGUCGAACGGUAACAGGAAGCAGCUUGCUGCUUUGCUGACGAGUGGCGGACGGGUGAGUAAUGUCUGGGAAACUGCCCGAUGGAGGGGGAUAACUACUGGAAACGGUAGCUAAUACCGCAUAACGUCGCAAGACCAAAGAGGGGGACCUUCGGGCCUCUUGCCAUCGGAUGUGCCCAGAUGGGAUUAGCUAGUAGGUGGGGUAAAGGCUCACCUAGGCGACGAUCCCUAGCUGGUCUGAGAGGAUGACCAGCCACACUGGAACUGAGACACGGUCCAGACUCCUACGGGAGGCAGCAGUGGGGAAUAUUGCACAAUGGGCGCAAGCCUGAUGCAGCCAUGCCGCGUGUAUGAAGAAGGCCUUCGGGUUGUAAAGUACUUUCAGCGGGGAGGAAGGGAGUAAAGUUAAUACCUUUGCUCAUUGACGUUACCCGCAGAAGAAGCACCGGCUAACUCCGUGCCAGCAGCCGCGGUAAUACGGAGGGUGCAAGCGUUAAUCGGAAUUACUGGGCGUAAAGCGCACGCAGGCGGUUUGUUAAGUCAGAUGUGAAAUCCCCGGGCUCAACCUGGGAACUGCAUCUGAUACUGGCAAGCUUGAGUCUCGUAGAGGGGGGUAGAAUUCCAGGUGUAGCGGUGAAAUGCGUAGAGAUCUGGAGGAAUACCGGUGGCGAAGGCGGCCCCCUGGACGAAGACUGACGCUCAGGUGCGAAAGCGUGGGGAGCAAACAGGAUUAGAUACCCUGGUAGUCCACGCCGUAAACGAUGUCGACUUGGAGGUUGUGCCCUUGAGGCGUGGCUUCCGGAGCUAACGCGUUAAGUCGACCGCCUGGGGAGUACGGCCGCAAGGUUAAAACUCAAAUGAAUUGACGGGGGCCCGCACAAGCGGUGGAGCAUGUGGUUUAAUUCGAUGCAACGCGAAGAACCUUACCUGGUCUUGACAUCCACGGAAGUUUUCAGAGAUGAGAAUGUGCCUUCGGGAACCGUGAGACAGGUGCUGCAUGGCUGUCGUCAGCUCGUGUUGCGAACGGCCUGGCUGUUAGAACAUGAAGCCCCGGAUGCAAAAUCUGCCGAUGCGAAUAUUGCCUUUUGUAUGGCAAUGACGCCAGAAGCUGAACAAUUAUUGCCCGUUUUACAGCGUUACGGCUUCGAAACGCUCGAAAAACUGGCAGUUUUAGGCUGAUUUGGUUGAAUGUUGCGCGGUCAGAAAAUUAUUUUAAAUUUCCUCUUGUCAGGCCGGAAUAACUCCCUAUAAUGCGCCACCA
rnacentral:rRNA from 1 species